AUUUAAGCAAUGGAAACAGGAAGCAUUUCACUUUUCCCCUCCAUGCUUCCUCCAGUGGUGGGAUGUGAGCCACUGGCAAGGUGGGACACCAAUAAGGCGUCUAAUAAGAUAAGUCUUAUAAAAUAUAUAGGUUUAUGAUAAUUAAGACUGAGUUAACAGAUGAGAAUCCUAGUCAUUGGCCAAGCGGCAUUUGAACCUAAUACAAGUCUCUCUGUGCAUUAAUUUGGGCCUAACUUGGCUGGGCAGCUGGCGUAAAGCACACAUGUGGCAGUGGGGCUGGGUGGCUUUGGAGGAAAGAUUUAUCAUAACAUUGUUUGUUUUACUGAAUUAUAUAGAUUUAUGUUUCAGUUUUUAAUGAGCAAUCACUGCUAUUUCAGUUUCCAUUUUUAGUUUUGAGUUAGAUUAUUUAAAUUAAGAAGUAAAUACAUUACCCCCCUUCCAUAAAAUCUUUUCAGCCUCAUGCCCUCUUCUCACACUGGUAGCCUCUUUUUCUUUGAGUGUUUUUGUUAAAUAUGUGUGUUUGUAUAUGUAUGUAUGUAUGUAUGUAUGUAUAAAUGUAAACUGCUGAAUCCAUUCAGCAAGCUUUUGUAUAUGAUAUCAGGGAUAAUAAACUUGUAUGAAAAAAUAGUUCACUAAUUACCUAAUUUUCAAGAUUAUUUUUAUUUAAUAUUUUACAUUAUUCGACAUCUAAGGAAGCACAUGUUUUGUUCCUUUGGUGAGACAAAUGUUUUUCUGUUCAGUCACUUGAUAUUACUAAUUUACGGUGUCAUGCAUUUUUCUUAGGAGUGAAAUAUGUCAUACUGUGUCUCUUUGUAUUUUAUAUGCUGAAGCUACUUUGUAAGGAUCAAUAAAGUAAAUCAUAUUAUUCAGCCAUUAGAAUGCUUAUUAACAAUUCGGAGACCUCGCUCUUUAAUCAUAGUAACUCUUCCCCAACCUUUACACACCAAAUUUGUACAUUAGGUUUCUAGAGUCAUACUUCAGGAUGGUGUCCAUAAAAAUGACUUUAGAGUUUAUUCAACAUGCAGUGAGUCUUUGGAGAAGUAUCUGAGGAGAAGUAAAUGCCCGUCAAACAUGUGAUCUGAGCGUUGCACAAAACAGGAGUCAAUAAAUAAAUAAUAAAUAAUAAAGCAAUAAAAAAUAUACUUUUUAUUCAAGUCCAGAGUGAGAAAGGUGCAAGAAAUCAAUUGUAUCUGUUGCCUAAGGGCACUGGAGUUCUGCAUUACAAAUUAGGAUGUUGGCUUCAUCUCAGUAAUCAUUAAAAUAAAUGGCAACAACUACUUUGGCCUGACUCUUAAUACAGACAGGGACACCUGAAAGUAUAUCAGAACAUUUUCAGAUGACUGAUUUGAAUAACAAACAGUUAUGAGGGAUGGUAAAGGAAAAUGAUUGGGCAUCAGAAUUAGUAUGUUGUUAGUUUAAGUUAUCGUCUAGGACUAACUAUCCUUUCCCUGGUAGUAUGGAAAGGAAGCUCUGUCAAAUGCAAACUCGAAUUCAGUUAUUGUAGGUGCUGCUCUCAGGAUCUUAGAUUAAACAUUUGAAUAAUGUAUAAGUACUUAUCUUGAUUUGAAUUGGGGUUUUAUAAUGUCCACUUGUGCUGUUGGAAUGAACAGUGCUAAUACCACGAAGAAAAUGCAUUUUCUAUUUAUUCAUUUUGUUUAGAUGAACUAUCACUCUAUCAAUAAUUGAUUUUACAAAAUGGAAAAUAUUACCAAGGGAUUAAGAAGAGGCUUGGGGAAUGCAUUCAUUAUCCUGGCAGCCCGCCACCACUGGCACUGUGUCACUUAAAGCUGCCAACCUGCCCUUCACUGGGGAUGGUUACUAGGAAUCCUGUUGCCACUAGUGCAGCCAGAGUCCAGUUUAAAAUCUGUGAAACUAAAUUGCUAAUAAUUUAUUACAUAAAAUGAUAAGCAGUAAUUUACUACUUGGAAGACCUUUUUGAUCGGUGUAUGUGUCUAUAUUUUAGAACAGAUUAAAUCAUAGGAAGCAUCACACACACACACACACACACACACACACACACACACACACACACACAUGACUCAAGAAUUCAAGGUUAGAUAAGUAAACCUGUCUCUCCAGAGUCCCAUGUAUUAUAAGAAACCAAUGGGUAUCCAUGAAACUAGUAGGCUUCUGCCCCCUGCAGAGUUACUGUUCUCUGUAAAUGGUAGAGUAAUACCUGCUGCUUACUUGAGUCUCAAACUGAUGAGUUUACCUGGAAAAUGUCAUUUGUGUUUUUAUAAGUGGGUGCAGUUUUUUUUUUCUAAAAACAACUUACAUUUUACAUGAAUGUUCAUUGGGCAGAUAAUAGGAUAAGAAAAAUACAGCACAAUGCCAAAGUUUAUAUUAAGCAACCAUAGUUUAGUGUGGAUAAUAAAGAAUCACACUGAAUUCUAAUAGCAGCUCAGGGUAUUUUGGCCAGUUAUCCAAUCACAUUUCUCUUCUUAGAACAUAUUUCUUUCUUUUUCUUUUUGUUUGCUGUCUGUUUUUUGCUUUGUUAUUUUUCUUCUUUAAAAAACAUUGAAAAUCAAUUCUUUUCUCAAACAAUGCAUACCAACUACAGUUUCUACUCUCCCCAGCUUCCUCCCACCUACCCCACCUCUCCCCAUGUCUACUACCCCUUCACUUCCUCUUCAGAAAAAAAAAACAUGCCUCCAAGGGAGGACAGCCAAAUAUUACAAAACAAGAUACAGGAAGACAGGAUAAAGUCAUCAUAUCAAGUUUGGGCAAGGCAACCCAACAGGACAAAACUAGUCCCAAAGCAGGCAUCAGUCAGAGUCACACAUGCUUCCAAUGUUGCAAUCUACAAAAAACAUCAGACUAACCUUGUACCAUGUAUGCAGAUGACCUGGUGCAGACACAUGCAGGUUCCAUACUUGUAUUUUAGUCUCUGUGAGCCCAGGGAUUUCCAAACACUGAGAAGAGACCCCUCAUUGAGGCCACCAAUUUAGACUCUUCAUAAUGUCUUCCUGUGGGUCUCUGCUACAGCUCAUAUCUGUUGUUGGGGAAGCCUCUCUGAUGGUGAAUGGACAAGGCACUGAUCUAAGAGUAUAGAAGAGUCUUCACAAAGGUCACCUUCAUAUUGGAAGUUUCCACUGCACAUGAUUUAACUUGAGGUCUAUACCAGGAGAAGGAUCCCAUAUCCUACACUGCCUGGAUGAUCAGGAACCAUAGACUGAACAGCCUGUGGUAGAAUCAGAGACCUAAGGAUGUGCAACUGUUGCAAGAUGCCAUGAACAAGAUGACUUCCUCUUACUCCUAGAACCACACGCAGAAUUGCACGGAUACUUUCCUCUGAGUCUCCAGCUCCAAGUCCUGAGAAGCCAAAUUCAGGGAGAAGAUGUCCAGGAGACCAUGGCUAGAAGCCUUCUCCAAGGCAGGAAUGACAAAGACAUUAGAGUCAGCAUGUGAUCUACUUAGGCUAUUGUAUAUGGCUUGCAAGCCUUUGCAGGCCCUUGUCCAGAAUAGGAAGCCUAGACAUCAUGUCCCUUGCUCAUAACUUCCUUCUCUCUGCUCCUUAUAUUCUGGCCAGUAACCAGCCUGAGUCCCCUCUCCCUGAAAUUGUCCACAGUAUUACUCAAACUCUGUGCCUCAGCUUAAUGGGCUCUUCUGACUGCAUUACCCCCUCCAUUAGCAUUAUGACAAAUUCUUGUGUUCCAGAAAGUUACAACUGUCACCCAGUCAAUCUACAGGAUUGAGGAUAUGCAUGUCCCCAUCAGGGGAGUAUCUGUCCCUGUAGAUUUGUGGUGACUGCUUCUCUUCUGUCCAGCUUUAUCUCUGGCAACUGACAAAAAUGUUCAGCAAAACAUUGGUGCUGGGGAAAAAUCUAUGCAGAACAAAAGAAAGAAAUGGCCAUAACGACAUAGUGUAAAUGUUCAAAUAUGAAGAAUUAUAGGAGUAGUGAAAGAAAGGUGAAGAAUUUGUAGAUGAAGGAUAUGGAGUGGAAGCUGGAGAUAUGUUUCUAAGACAAAGAGAUAAGAGCAGAACAGGACAAGACAAGAGGAAAGCAUGAGGUUGUUGAAAAAUCUGUUACUACAGAUAACGUGCAGGACACUAUAAAUAUGUUAAACACUGAAUUGCCUAACUAAAGUAAUGGUUGAAAAAUAUGCUAGUGUAGUUAAAAACAAUAUACUUAUAAAAUUUUAAUAUUCUGAGAAAGUAACUUACAAAGUCGACUUCAUAAAAUGCCAGUAUACUUAAGUCAUUGAAUACAUUGACAGAUUUUUAAGAAAAGUAAUGCAAUUCUGUCAUGUGGAAAUUUUUCUUCAAACUGGAAAGUAAGUAAUCUUUUGUUGCAUAUAGUAUUUAUAUUACAGAGCUAGAAUAAUUGCCUAUUGACACUGCCACUUUGUAUGUGCGGGAUGUGUGUGAAUGUUUAUUCUGUGAAGAGAUGAGAUCUUUGUGUCAGAAAUAUGGCAAAUAAACAUGAGGCUAUUACUGAUAAAAGUCACUAAAUGUCAUUGUUUUAUACAUAACUUCAAAGAUACUAGACUAUCUUUGUUGUAGUUUUCUAACAGAUGAUAAUUAUAAGUCACAAUUGGCACAGAAAAAAAAAUAAGACCAUUACAGUUUUUACAUAUAUUAUCUAAACAUCUACUUUCUCCUUACUGGCUGUAAUUGUGAUGAUCUCUUUUAAUCUGAGUUACUUCUGAUUGUGUGUGUUGUUGCAAAGUGAGUUCCUGGGACAUUUCAGCAUCUAUUGUUAAAAUCUCUGGAGAAGCAAUAAUGAUCAUGUAAUUAUUGUUCGUCAACAGUUUGACUAUUAUAUAUCAUUUACAGUCAAUUUAAUUAAAAAGCUCACUGAAUAUUCUGGCAUUAUGUAAAUAAUGUGAAUGAACACAAGAGCUAUUUGUUACGAAAAACACUUAAAAUAGUACUAUAGACACCACAUUUUGCAACUGGAUCGUUAUCUCAGUAUUUCUUAUAAAUAAGUCUUAGAAAAUUGUUUGUGCUACACUUUGAAUUUAGAAUUAAGAAGGGAUUCCUCUACUUUUACUGUGUGUCGCCUUGUUGUCAAUAUGAUUAAAACCCAGAUAAAAUGAGUCUACUGCUGAUAAGCUAUGAAAUAGAAGUAUUGCAUUUUCUUCAUGAUGAAUAAUACAAUACUCAGGUUUGGAAUGAGUGUGUUUUAGCCUAUGUCAGGUUAGAUUGCAUCCUGUCUAUGAUAUUUAUUUGAGUCAUGGGUCGCUUCUCAGGUUUUUUGAAAACUGUGAUGAACUAUUUGCAGAAAUGCUACAUCCUGUAUUUUUGCAUUAAGAUAAGAAGCAUAAAGUAAAAAUUCUUCCAUUAGUCAAAAAUAUAAUAAUAACUGCCUUAGGAUUGCUUUACUCUGAUGAAACAAAAGAAACUUGGGAAAAAAUUUGAAGGAAGGGAUUUAUUCAACUAUUACUUCCACAUUACAGUUCAUCCUCAAAUGAAUUUAGGACAGAUGCUCAAGCAGGAAAGGAACCUGAAGACAGAAAGUGAUACAGAAGCCAUGGAAGUUUGCUGCUUAGUUGGUUGCUUCCCAUUGCUUGCUCAGUCUGUUUUCUUAUAGAACCCAGGAACCACCAGUCCAGGAAUAGCACCACCCACAAUAGGCUGGGCCCACUCCCAUCAAUCACUAACUAAGAAAAUACCCUACAGGUUUGUCUACAGCCUGAUUUUAUGGAGGUAUUUUCUCAAGUGAGGUUCCUCCUCUCAGGUGACUUUAGCCUGUGUCAAGUGGAUAUGAAACUAGCCAGUCAGUACAGGAACCAACAUAAGGCAUAAACCCUCUUUAUAGGGAAGCCAAAGUAACAAGAGUUUUGAAAGUGAACACAUGAGUGAGUAGGUCCAGAGACAGGGGAAUCCUUAGAACUUGGUGAAAAUCCAUUGUAACUAAUGUAAGAGAACAAGGUUAAAUUUGAGAACCUGUCUCAAUAAAUAAAUAAGUAAAGAACAUGAGAGAAAUAAACCUGGAGUUGACAUCUGACCUCCACAUGUACAGAUAGAGGCAAGUACACCUAGACACAUUUGUGUAAACACACAUGCACUCACACAUACACACACACUCUCUUUCUCACACACUACAAACAUAUAUACUAAAAUAGGUAAAUGUCAAGUUAUUAAAUUGUAGCAUUUGUUUUUAAAGUUUACCUUAUACUAAGUGAAAUAGAAAUUAGUUAUUGUGUAAAGAUGUAAAGCUUUAUUCCCUCAAAGUCUUUAAAAGAUCAUCUAUUUCACAAUUCUUCCUAAAGCUAUCAUCAAUGUUUCAAUUCUUCUUUUAUUUACCCCAAAGGCAUGCUUGUCUACACUUAUGAUAUCAAAGAGAUGGUAUGAUGAGUUCAGAUUAAACAAAAUGUUUUGCUAAUCUAAAAUCAUUUAGCUAAAAAAUACCACUCAAUUUUAGUAUCCAUCUUAGACUGUAUUUUAAAUCAUAUUACAGUUUUCACAAAAAACAGGUAAACAAAGAUAUCCACCAUAACAUUAGGCACAAAAAUAAAAGAUACAGAUAUUGGGGUUCAGGCUUCAACCUGAAGAUCAUACAAGCAAAGCAGCUGGCCACUAGCUCUUACCUCUACCUCAGCUCAGACUAAAGGGGCAAUCCUCAGACUACUGCCAACUUUACUACUUCUCAGUUUCACUCAGACUGCUAUGCUUUCCUCAGAAUUGUUUUUUUGACUAACUCUCAGACUGAAUGCCUGUACCUUUUAUACUUCUCAAAUCCUGGGAUUAUAGGCAUGAGCUCUGAUUCACUCUCCGGUGGCCCAGGAGCAUCUUAUAUUCUGAGAUGUUCAAAAAUCUUAAUCCUGAGUCCUGGAUUUAAAUUUAUGUGCCUGGCUUCAAUGGCUAACUAGUGUGGCUGCUUUGCUAUUUUGAUUUUCAGUGGUUUUAAUAAAUCAUAAAAAAUAUUAGUCACCUGCCUCAUUGCUAUAACGCAGGGGGUGACAAGAAGCAUGUUAAAGGAGAAAAGGUGCCUUUUGACUCACAGUUACAGAUUGAAGCUCAUUACAGCAGGCAAGUCACAAUGGCAGGAUAUUGGGGUGGCUGUUCACAUUGAAUCCACAGACCAGAAGCAGAAGGUAUUGAUCCCCCUUGCUCAGGCCCUUCCAUGCUGGGGUUAAAGACGUGUGCUAUUACACCAAGCUUUCAUUAUGGGUCCUGGGAUCUAAACCCCAUGCUAAUUCUUUUGCAGUAGACAUUUUACCAACUGAGUCUUCCCACAUCUAAAUUUAACUAUUUUAAAUCAGCAGUUCUCAGGAAAUACACCAAAAUGGAAUUAUUCUACAGUUAUAUUUACUAUCAAUGUCUUCUCAUAACAUUUCAUCUAUUUCUUUGCAUGCUUACAGCUGAUUUAUUCUCCAUUCAUAACAUUUUAUUAUUUCCCCUAUAAGGAUUCAGGUAUUAUAUUGCCCUGCCGCUGUCACUUGGCAGAGUGCACUCAGGCAGUACCCUGGUCAGCCCUGAGCUCUAUGGAUUUUGCACACAGUUGCAAAGGACCCCAUUAAGAGAAAGACCCCAACCACAAAGUGGUCUUUUUGCCUGCUCAUCUCUUUCUGCUAUCUUCUCUUUCCUGAUCCUCUCUUUCCCCUGUCUUGCCUGCUGCUCCCCUGGGGCAGACCAGACUUUUCCUGUCUCCCCCUUCUCUCCUGUACUCUCUCUGUGUGUCUCUUUCCCCUUUUCUCGUCCCUUCCUCCUUCCAUCUCUGUUCCCAGUUGGCCAACAUCUACUCCUCCAUUCAUUCCCAUUCCCAACAAACUCCAUAUGUGUUUGCUGAGUUUUGUGGUUAGUGUUUCAUUGCCCACAGCCUCAGCAAAAACUACAUCCCCCACUGGAAGACAAAUGUUACACAAUCUCAAUUUUAUGUGUAACCUAGAAAUGAUGAACUUAUGGGAACAGAGAGCAGAAUUGUGGCUAUUAGGCUUCAAUGUGGGUCUUUUAACAAUGGGGAAACGAUUGGUUUAAGGAUAUAAAACUGCAGUUGGACAAGAGUCAUGGACUCUCUGAAGUCUUGAGGUCUACUGGGAGCAUGAUAAAUAUGGUUGAUAACAAUAUGCUCUAUUUUAAGAGUUGUGAGAUAGUAUACUUUAAGUGUUCUCAAAACAAAAAUGAUGAAUAUGUGUGAUAUAACAUGUUAAUUGGUUUAAUUUAGCCAUGCCAUUGUGAACAUACUGUAUUGUGUAUCAUAAUUGUGCAUGACUUUAUUUAUGAGCUAAAUAAAUGAAUGAAAAAAAACUGCAUCCCCUAUUAACACUGUCAUGCAUCAGUGGGCAGAAAAAUAAUAAUAUUCUCCUUAUGGAGAUACAGAUACUACCAAGGCUUUAUGAGACAAAUCCAAUAAUAAAAAUGCAUGUGAAAAUCCAUAUUUCUCUACUACAUUGAUUGGAGAGAUCCUGAUGUUGUAAAAUUUAAAGAAGUAAUUAUACCAAAUGAAAUAAUGAAUGAAUCAAAUAACCACAGGAAUGG
ensembl:lncRNA